AUGGUUCACUGUCAUGACAACAUACUUCCUGCCAGACAAGUGCAAUCAUCCUCUCACCCCCCUUUCACUGUCUAUCCAUCCUCUCCCCCUCAUUCUUUCACUGUCUAUCCAUCCUCUCCCCCUCAUUCUUUCAGUCUAUCCAUCCUCUCUCCCUCAUUCUCUCUAUCCAUCCUCUCUCCCCCUUGCACUGUCUAUCCAUCCUCUCCCCCUCAUUCUUUCACUGUCUAUCCAUCCUCACUCCCUCAUUCUUUCACUGUCUAUCCAUCCUCUCUCCCUCAUUCUCUCUAUCCAUCCUCUCCCCCUCAUUCUUUCACUGUCUAUCCAUCCUCUCCCCCUUAUUCUUUCACUGUCUAUCCAUCCUCUCUCCCUCAUUCUCUCUCUAUCCAUCCUCUCUCCCUCAUUAUCUCUCGAUCCAUCCUCUCUCCCUCAUUCUCUCUAUCCAUCCUCUCUCCCUCAUUCUCUCUCUAUACAUCCUCUCUCCCUCAUUCUCUCUCUAUACAUCCUCUCUCCCUCAUUCUUUCUUUCUCUACCUAGCUAGGUUGUGAAGUGAGAGCUAGAGAUUGCCAAUCAGCGGUGUUAAACUGGAACUCACCAAAACCUGACCAAAAGGUAUCAACUUUCCCUCAGUAGAAACUUCAACUUACAAUUUUUUAAAACUUUUACAUUNNNNNNNNNNUUGUUGUUAUUGGCCUUGAGCAGUAUUGGAGUGGAGUGAUGGGUAGAGGUGAGAGGUCAACCUACAGUGCCUACAGAAAGUAUUCACACCGUUUAACUUAAUCCACAAUUUGCUGUGAUACAGCCUGAAUUCAAAAUGGAUGAAAUAAAUGUUCUCUCACCCAUCUACUCACAAUAACCCAUAAUGACAAAGUGAAAACAUGUUUUUAGAAAUGUACUAAAUGUAUUGAAAAUGAAAUAGACAUCUAAUUUACAUAAGUAUUCACACCCCUGAGGGACCUUACAGAUAAUUGAAUGUGUGGGGUACAUAGAUGAGGAAGUCAUUCAAAAAUCAUGUUAAACACUAUUAUUGAACACAGAGUGUGUCCUUGCAACUUAUCAUGUGACUUAAGCAAAUGUUUACUCCUGAACUUAUUUAGGCUUGUUAUAACAAAGGGGAUGAAAACUUAUUGACUCAAGACAUUUCAGUUAUUCAUUUUUAACACACACAGCAGCAGCAGUACGCAGACCGAGUUGGACCUAUUGAAAAGGGCAGUGUGUUUACAGUCAGAUAUCAGGAAAGGUUAUCCGACAUCAAAUGGGGCAGCAGUGUCUCAGCCAAUCACACGGAGGGACCAGAGGCAUUCUAACGAAUCACAGACUGACAGCAGACCUUAACCACUCUACAGGUGAAUGCUGAUGGGACAGCUGACAACCUUGACAUUUCAACAACGUGGACAACCUGUGAGCGGGAGUGUGUGUGUGGGUGUGUACGUGAUGGAGUGUAUGUGGAGGACUAGGUGCACGUGUCUAAGAGUGAGCCAGAACGUGUAUUCUGAUUGCAUCGCAGCUGAAGUUCAGUUAGCUGUAAUGAUGAAUAUGGAGAAGCAGGUUCAGGGACACAAGAACAAGGUGACAGGAGAAUCUGGACAGGUGAGUGGGUAGCAUGUGUGUCAAACAGUGCUCUGUGCCAGGACACCAGGUGGCUAGUCAGAGGGCAUCUGUAACCCCUCCCCUUUCCUACCUCCUAUCCACACCAUGCCCAUCCGUUCCCCCUCCCCAUCCGUUCCCCCUCCCCAUCCAUCCCUCCUCCCCAUCCAUUCCUCCUCCCCAUGCCCAUCCAUUCCUCUUCCCCAUGCCCAUCCAUUCCUCUUCCCCCUCCCCAUCCAUUCCUCUUCCCCCUCCCCAUCCAUUCCUCUUCCCCAUCCAUUCCCCCUCCCCAUCCAUUCCCCCUCCCC
rnacentral:lncRNA from 13 species